rnacentral:lncRNA from 10 species
GUCCUUCAUGCCUUAUCCCAGAGUUUCCUGGGACCCUGGUAUAUAAGACCCAGGAUUGCUGUUUUCUAGAGUCCUCCAGGGUCAGUGCAAGGGGGACACAUGCAGAUAAAAUUCCGUCUAACCCAGGCAGCUUUUCUGAGCCUCAGGGAACCAGCUCACAGUGAAUCCCAAGUUUCUGUUACUCCUUGCCGCCCAUCUAUAAACUGACUUCAUGGAUGUUCGGAUGUGUGUGCGGAUGUUCUGACUCAUUGGACUCGGACAAAGAAAAAAACCCAUGUGAGAA